rnacentral:lncRNA from 1 species
ACUCACAGAAGCCGUGGGUCCCAAGGGAAGGAGGCGUGGGGACUGUGUGCCCAGGGAGAUCAGGAAGUGAGAACAGAUAACUUGCCCACUUGUGACCGAUGAGUGAGCGACACCCAGUCCACUUGGGCAUACGGUGGCUCUCUGAGGAACGUUUCAUGAAGGUGCGCCUGUCUCCCCGUACAGUAGAUUCAAGAAGGCCUUGGGUGUGUGUCUGUCAGUGGCAGAGCUGCGUCAGUUGCUGGUGACUGUUUCCAGCUGGACACUGUCGUCGAGGGCACGUUCAGCAGUGACAGCCCAAGGACAGCUACUGAGGACAGUUGCCUGCUUUUGAAGCUCCACACUGUUUCUGAGUUCUCCACAUCAGUGAGGCUUAUCUCUGGACUCCACACCGCCUUAUCUGAAGUUUUCUUUCGUCUUCCUGAGAAGAUUUAUAACCCAGAAAAGCCACACCAUGAUUUCUGCUCCCCAAAUUGUAUUCUGGUUGUUUUAUUUUGCUCCCUGUCCUCUGUUGGCUUCGAGUGUGCUGUUGAACAAUCUACAAAUUCUCAGAGUGUCUUUGACUUUGUAGGCACUGUUGACCGUUAUCUUUGCUAGAAUGUUCAUAAAUUCCAGGUUGU